GGAGGCGUCGCAUAGUGGUCUAGUGCGCACGCUUGGAAAGCGUGUAAGGUGUCAAAGCUUUCGAGAGUUCGAAUCUCUCCGCCUCCG
rnacentral:tRNA from 1 species